rnacentral:lncRNA from 1 species
UAUCCGUAAAAUUUUAGAAAACUCCCAAAAGGUAGGCAACCAGGAAUACAUUUCAAUUAUCUUUCAUAUCGCAUACGAGAGCUGCUGCCAUCAUCGAUGAAACGAGGAAACCUUUUGUUUGUAGCGAUAGGAACUAUCGGGUACAAAAAAGGGAUUGGAGAAUUUUUUUUAUUCAGAAAAUGGCUCGAAUGUCUUGAACGCUAAAUUUUGUUGAUUGAAUAUUUUACGCUUUAGGCGGUUUUAAUUGAUCAGUGUUCUUUUCGACAGUGAUAUUUGGUCGAAUAAUUCGUUGGAUUAUAUUAUCAACUGUCGAUUUGUCUCUACGGAGGAUUUUAGAUAUCAGCCUUUUUUUUGUGGUAAAAGAAGUCAACGUCUCGCGAUUAUUAGGGAAUCGGUAAUCGGAGGCGUUUAACCCCAUAUAUCGAAAUCAUCUCGAGGAAAAUAAAAAUUACUUUGAAGAGAAUAUAUGUCAUUCGAUGGUCGCAAUACUGUAAUAUUCAUGGUCGCCUUCUGAGGAUAUAAUUAAAGGAAUGAACAUCCGUUCCAGGAAGUGCAGUACUCCGUACAAUCCAGUAAUCUGGCUAAGUACCGCAUAGCGGAAUUUGUUUUUUGGUCAUUUAUUUUGCAUUCCGUAACUUCCACGGGCCAAUAUCUACGUUUAGUAAUCAUCAACUGGGAACUACACUCAGCGGAUAUUGUUUAACUGUUUUCUGUAUAUUAGUUAUGUAAGUUUUGCGUAAUGUCUUUAGGGGACUGGACGAAGACCUACCAUACAGAUCUCAUCCACUCCUCUUCUUCCCUCUCAUGAGAGUUUUCUAAGUGCACGAAACCCCUCCAACCAUUUCAAACCUUGUUUUAUUGAUUAUAUAUUUAUAGAUAAGCCAGUAUAUAAUAUAUUUCUAUUGAAUUGA